rnacentral:snRNA from 14 species
AUACUUACCUGACAGGGAGGCAUUCUGAUCAUGAAGGUGGUUUUUGAGAGUGAGCCUCAUCCCUAGCACUUCAGGUAGGCUGAUCUCUGCAAUUUCCCCAGAUCCAGGGAAAUUGACUAUAAGAUUUGUGAUAUGGAAGACUGUUUUUUUUUCUUUU